rnacentral:rRNA from 1 species
ACCCGCUGAACUUAAGCAUAUCAAUAAGCGGAGGAAAAGAAACCAACAGGGAUUGCCUUAGUAACGGCGAGUGAAGCGGCAAAAGCUCAAAUUUGAAAUCGGCCUCCAGGUCGAGUUGUAAUUUGUAGAUUGUAUCUUGAGAGCGGAUUAAAGUCUGUUGGAACACAGCGCCUUAGAGGGUGACAGCCCCGUAAAAUCUAUUCUCAUUGUAAGAUACUUUCGAAGAGUCGAGUUGUUUGGGAAUGCAGCUCUAAGUGGGAGGUAAAUUCCUUCUAAAGCUAAAUAUUGACGAGAGACCGAUAGCGAACAAGUACUGUGAAGGAAAGAUGAAAAGCACUUUGAAAAGAGAGUGAAAAAGUACGUGAAAUUGUUAAAAGGGAAGGGUAUUGAAUCAGACUUGGUGCUGUUGUUCAACUGUGUUUCGGCAUAGUGUACUCAGCAGUACUAGGCCAAGGUGGGGUGUUUGGGAGUGAGAAGGAAGUUGGAACGUAACUCUUCGGAGUGUUAUAGCCUACUUUCAUAGCUCCUCAGGCGCCUCAGGACUGCGCUUCGGCAAGGACCUUGGCAUAAUGAUUCUAUACCGCCCGUCUUGAAACACGGACCAAGG